AAGGGUUUGGUUGGGCCAUGAUUUUUUCGGUUAUUAGGGAUUGCAGAUGGUAAUAUCACACAACCUGAGCCCACAAAUGUUUGAUUUUGGGUUUGGGUUUUGAAUCCUGAGAAAUUCUGGGUGUAAGAAAUUUUUAUCUUCCAUUGCGUCAAGUACAGCUUCCAAGCCAACCGAACCGCAGCGUUCCUCCCCAUUUCUAAGGAAACUACUCCAGCAGAUCAGCAACGUACAAAUACCACAGAGGAACUCUAGAAAACCAAAAAGAACAAAGAGUUUGAGAGAGAGAGUUUGUAGAAGAGAUGGGGUGGGGAUGGGCGAUCUGCGAAGGAAUGGUGGUCAUUGGAUCGCUUGUUCUUCUUGGAUGGGCAGGUCUUUGGUUCUUAAACCGAAGACUUUACAAAGAGUACGAGGAGAAAAGAGCUUUGGUUCAGAUCAUUUUCAGUAUUGUUUUCGCUUUCUCUUGUAAUCUUCUCCAGCUUGUUCUUUUCGAGAUUAUCCCUCUUCUCUCCAGAGAGGCAAGAUUGAUAAACUGGAAGGUGGACCUAUUCUGUUUGAUUUUGCUAUUGGUUUUCAUGUUGCCUUAUUACCAUUGUUACUUGAUGCUUUGCAACAGUGGUGUGAGGAAGGAGCGGGCUGGAUUGGGAGCUAUCCUAUUCUUGUUGGCAUUUCUCUAUGCUUUUUGGCGCAUGGGCAUUCACUUUCCCAUGCCCUCUCCUGACAAAGGUUUCUUCACAAUGCCUCAGUUGGUCAGUCGAAUUGGUGUUGUUGGAGUAACUGUCAUGGCUGUCCUAUCUGGUUUUGGUGCUGUAAAUUUGCCAUACAGCUAUUUGUCCCUCUUCAUCAGAGAGAUUGAGGAAUCUGAGAUUAAGACAUUGGAGAGACAACUAAUGCAAUCAAUUGAGACUUGUGUUGCAAAGAAAAAGAAGAUCAUUCUUUGUCAAAUGGAGAUGGAACGAAUUCAAGGAUCUGAUGAGAACUUAAAGGCCAGAUCCUUCUUCAAACGGAUUGUUGGCACAGUUGUACGUUCAGUACAAGAUGAUCAAAAGGAGCAAGAUAUUAAAAUCUUGGAAGCUGAGGUUCAAACUUUGGAAGAGGUUUCAAAGCAACUAUUCCUGGAAAUCUAUGAGCUUCGCCAAGCGAAGGAGGCUGCUGCUUAUUCGCGAACAUGGAGGGGCCAUAUGCAGAAUUUGCUUGGUUAUGCAGGUUCAGUUUAUUGUGUGUAUAAAAUGAUUAAGUCUUUACAAAGUGUUGUUUUCAAGGAGGCUGGUUCAGUUGACCCUGUUACAAUGUCAAUUACCAUAUUAUUGCAGUUCUUUGACAUUGGAAUUGAUGCUGCAUUGCUAUCACAGUAUAUUUCCCUGAUGUUUAUCGGAAUCUUGAUUGCUAUAUCAGUGCGGGGUUUCUUAACUAAUCUAAUGAAGUUUUUCUUUGCAGUUUCCAGAGUUGGUAGUGGAUCUUCAAGUAAUGUUGUCCUCUUCCUUUCGGAAAUUAUGGGAAUGUACUUCCUCUCUUCAAUUCUUCUGAUAAGAAAAAGCUUGAGGACUGAAUACAGGUUGAUUAUAACAGAUGUUUUGGGUGGAGAUAUUCAGUUUGACUUCUACCACCGAUGGUUUGAUGCGAUUUUUGUAGCCAGUGCUUUCCUUUCUCUGCUUUUGCUUUCUGCACAUUAUACAUCUCGCCAGGCUGACAAACACCCUAUUGAUUGACAUCUUCUCAUAUGUGCCAGAACAAAGCAUUUUUAUACAAUUUCAAUUUGUUUCAAGCCUAAAAACAGGUUGCGAACCCCUGUUGCGAACCCCUUAAGCCUGGAUAUGCCUACACCAAUUAAUGUAUUCACACUCCAAGAGGGUCUAUAGUGAUCUUCUAUAUUGAGGAUCAAGAACAGGAGGGUUAAAUUUGGUUUACGAUAUUCUUGUGUAUAGUUUAUGAUGUUAGGAAGAUGGUUUAUUUGUGUACUUUAGUUGAUAAUACAUUCGUUAAUUCUUCAAUUAAAUUAUAAUUCUUUCAACAUGUAUACAAACUUAAACGAUAUUAUUUUCAUUAUA